rnacentral:rRNA from 1 species
UAUUAUACUAAACUGUAAUAAAAUGUUUAAAAAUUAUAAGAUACAGUCUUUAAAUUUAAAGAAUUUGGCGGUAACUUAAUCUUUCCAGAGGAAUCUGUUUUAUUUGAUCGAUAGUCCACGAGAAUCUUACUUGUUUUCUUGAAUUGUAGUUUGUAUACCGUCAUUAUCAGAUAAUAUUUAAAGAAUAAUUAUUAAACCUUAAAAAAUAAAUAAAAUUAGAUCAAGGUGCAGCUUAUAAGCAAGUUAAAAUGGAUUACAAUUAAAUUUAUAUAAAUAUGAAAUAUAGUUUGAAAUUAUUAUAAGAAGGUGGAUUUGGUUGUAAUAGAGAUUAGUUAGAUAAAAAGAUAUAAGCUCUAAGUUAU